GAUGAACGCUGGCGGCAGGCCUAACACAUGCAAGUCGAACGCUGUAGCAAUACAGAGUGGCAGACGGGUGAGUGACGCGUGGGAACAUGCCCUUCGGUUCGGAAUAACUCAGGGAAACUUGAGCUAAUACCGGAUACGCCCUUAGGGGGAAAGAUUUAUUGCCGAAGGAUUGGCCCGCGUCCGAUUAGCUAGUUGGUGAGGUAAUGGCUCACCAAGGCGACGAUCGGUAGCUGGUCUGAGAGGAUGAUCAGCCACACUGGGACUGAGACACGGCCCAGACUCCUACGGGAGGCAGCAGUGGGGAAUAUUGGACAAUGGGCGCAAGCCUGAUCCAGCCAUGCCGCGUGAGUGAUGAAGGCCCUAGGGUUGUAAAGCUCUUUCGCCAGGGACGAUAAUGACGGUACCUGGAUAAGAAGCCCCGGCUAACUUCGUGCCAGCCGCCGCAGUAA
rnacentral:rRNA from 1 species